CAGCAGCCACGGUAAUACGAGGGGGGCAAGCGUUGUUCGGAAUUAUUGGGCGUAAAGGGUGCGUAGGUGGCGGUGUAAGUCUAACGUGAAAUCUCGGGGCUCAACCUCGAAAUUGCGUCGGAUACUGCAUUGCUAGAGGAUUGUAGAGGAGAGUGGAAUUCAUGGUGUAGCAGUGAAAUGCGUAGAUAUCGGAAGGAACACCUGUGGCGAAAGCGGCUCACUGGACCAUUUCUGACGCUGAUGCACGAAAGCUAGGGGAGCAAACAGGAUUAGAUACCCCAGUAGUCCCUGUCUCUUAUAC
rnacentral:rRNA from 1 species